rnacentral:rRNA from 1 species
GUUGAACGCUGGCGGCAGGCCUAACACAUGCAAGUCGAGCGGAGGAAGGGAGCUUGCUCCUGGAUUCAGCGGCGGACGGGUGAGUAAUGCCUAUGAAUCUGCCUGGUAGUGGGGGAUGACGUCCGGAAACGGGCGCUAAUGCUGCCUACGUCCUGAGGGAGAAAGUGGGGGAUCUUCGGACCUCACGCUACCAGAUGAGCCUAGGUCGGAUGAGCUAGUUGGUGGGGUAAAGGCCUACCAAGCCGACGAUCCGUAACGGGUCUGAGAGGAGGGUCAGCCACACUGGAACGGAGACGCGGUCCCGACUCCUGCGGGAGGCAGCAGUGGGGAAUAUUGGACAGUGGGCGAGAGCCUGGCCCAGCCAGGCCGCGUGUGUGAAGGAGGUCUUGGGAUUGGAAAGCAGUUUUUCUUGUUGUGAAGGGCAGUAAGUUGAUACCUUGCUGUAGUGACGUUACCAGCAGAAUAAGCACCGGCUAACUUCGUG